UAUACGGUGAUUAACUCUUUCAGCAGCCAUUCACAUUAGAAAAACUAGGGUUUCUCAGAGAGACUAUCACAGCGCCGUCGCCCCUCUCCAGCUCUCCGUCGCCCCACUCUGGCUCUUCCUCGCCCCGAUCCCAUCUUCCAUCACCGGCCGCCGUGACUGGUUGUUACUAUGUCACCCAAGCUCGGUGUCUCACGUUAAGAAACCCUUCGUCUUUCCAUCUACUAAUCACAGGUUUAAAAGGGAAGGAUAUUGUGUAUUUUGCUGAAGGGGUUAUGGUCGUUUAUCAUUUUUAUAUCUUGUUUUGAAUGUUUGUGGUUAGUUUGAAAAUUUAAAUUAUUGUAGUUGUUUGAAACAAUGAAUUAAAGUGUUUAAGUUUGAAUUUUGUUAUGAAUUUGAUGAAUGUUUAGAUGUUA